rnacentral:misc_RNA from 1 species
AGUAUCUCGACAACAUUCAUCACGACGUGAUGUCGAUGCCGGUGGGCGAGUGGGCUGACAAGGUCACUAUAUACUUUAGUUUAGCCUAAUCGUCCAUGGGAUAUGUGCUGUCGUCGUUUUGAUUUCUAGGCUGCCUCGAUUGUUACCAAUUCUUCUUUAUUUUGAUACUACAAAAUCUGUUCUAUAAUACAAAUAAAUCUGACUUUAGUUUUUAAAUCCACAAUCAAGUGAGAGUGUGUCUAUAGAUUUAAGUGAUUUUUCUUACAAUGUAAAUUAAAAUUUAACAAAAUAAAAAAACUUAUUUUCAGAGCAACGCAGUUUGUUUAUUUAUAAAGAAAUACCUGAUACAUGUAUAAUUUAACUCUUAAAGUUUAUUCCGUAACAUUUAAGUAGGUAUAGGAC